rnacentral:rRNA from 1 species
GGGGGGGGCAAGCGUUGUUCGGAAUAACUGGGCGUAAAGGGUCCGUAGGCGGCCAUGCAAGUCCUGGGUGAAAGCCCCCGGCUCAACUGGGGAAUUGCCUAGGAAACUGCGUGGCUUGAGUCCGGUAGAGGGAGAUGGAAUUCCGGGUGUAGCGGUGAAAUGCGUAGAUAUCCGGAGGAACACCAGUGGCGAAGGCGAUCUCCUGGGCCGGUACUGACGCUGAGGGACGAAAGCUAGGGGAGCAAACAGGAUUAGAUACCCUGGGUAGUCCUAGCUGUAAACGAUGGGCACUUGGUGUGCCCGACCCCAUGCGGUUGGCGUGCCGACGCUAACGCAUUAAGUGCCCCGCCUGGGGAGUACGGCCGCAAGGCUG